rnacentral:lncRNA from 1 species
GUUCGUUUUAUUGUGGAAAUAAAUACAAUUAGCAUACGUACAUAAUGUUAAGACAUAUGUACAUGUUUAUAAAUAUACAAAAAUGUAUUACUUUUCUAUUCAAUUAAUGUACACUCCUUUUAUUGUUUUCUAAAUCACAUAAAAUUCACAUUUUAUAUGCUAUUAAGUCAAUACUCAUAAAGUGUUUGCUCUUCACUAUCCGUUCAAUAUUUGCACAGUCUUUAGAUUAAUUAUUAAAUGGGAAUUAUUUAAAUAUAAAUAAAAUAUAUACAAGUACUUAUAUGGCAGCAUCCACUGUGAGUCCAUUCAAAAGGCAAUCAUUCGUUUACUUAUAGCUCCCAGUGUACACUCGGCGGCCAUGUGCUGCUCUGCAUCCUCCAAGUCAUGUUGCCUCACCAGAUGCAGCGGCACAGCCAACUGCAGGAGCUCCAGGAACGCAUUGAUCAGGCUGAGUUGCAGCCAGACUAGCGUCAGAAAGAGGCAGGUACAAGUGCAGCCAAAUGCUUCGCUCAGAGGGGACGGCAUGAUAAUUCCCGCCUGAGGGUGUUGCUCCACUGAUAGACCCUGGAGAAGAACCUAAGAUUAAGACCUGAAGUAUACCCACAAACACGUGCCGCUGUUGAACUGAUA